ACAAAACCUGAAAUAUUACCAAAUACAGAGCAAGCAAUAAACACCAAACCUAUCAGCACCAACACCAUUGGUGGUCUAAGCUAUGCUCAAGUAACCAGCCAACCAACACACACACAUAACCAAUACCACAGCAAUAGUAACAACGACACUGCAGAAAUCAAAGAACUGCUCAAACAAUCCAUAAAGAACACCGAAAUGCUAACCAGAAUGAUAAGCGAACAAAACGCAGUACUCAAACAGCAAACCCAACAAAUCACAGUCAUGCUACAACUAAUUACAAACGUGCUAAGCAAAAAAUAAAAACGGACACUCUAAAAAUAGCAGCCUGGAACUCAAACGGCCUACAACAACGGGCCCUCGAAACUAAAACAUUCAUAUACAAUAAUAAUAUAGACAUACUACUUGUCUCAGAAACACACUUCACUACAAAAAGCUAUUUGAAAAUACCAUACUACACCAUAUAUGAUACCAAACACCCCUCAGGAAAAGCUCACGGAGGGACAGCAGUGAUAGUCAGAAACGAUAUCAAACAUUAUCUUCACAGCCAAGUUAACAAAGAAUAUUUACAAGCAACCACUGUUACAGUUCAAACUAGCAGCAACUACUUCCAGUUGUCAGCAGUAUACGUGCCUCCGCGACACAAAAUAACAACACAAAUGUGGGAAGAAUACUUCCAGGACCUAGGGGACAAGUACAUCGCAGCGGGAGACUACAACUCAAAGCACACGCUUUGGGGGUCAAGAAACAUUACACCUCGAGCACAGAAAACAAGUUAAAAAUAUAUAAAACGAUCAUAAAACCAAUCUGGACGUACGGAAUACCACUAUGGGGGACGGCAGCAAUGAGCCAUAUAAACAAAAUAGAGGUAAUACAGGCUAAAAUCCUCAGGACAAUAGUAAACGGACCUUGGUACGUCAGAAACGAAGAUAUACGAAGGGACCUGGGAAUGCCAACGGUCAAGGAAGAAAUCAACAGAUACUUCGAGAAAUACAAAUUAAGAAUAGCAACACACAUAAACCGGCUAACUGCGGAAACAUACAAAAUCACAAAUAUGGACAGAAGACUAAAAAGGAAGCACCCAGCAGACCUUAUAAAGGACAUAACCUAAGAAACACGAGGAUGGUACCCCGCUGGGGGUAGCCACCAACAUGCUAAUUUAACC
rnacentral:misc_RNA from 1 species